UACGUAGGGUCCGAGCGUUGUCCGGAUUUAUUGGGCGUAAAGAGCGUGUAGGCGGCCAGGUAGGUCUGCUGUGAAAACUCGAGGCUCAACCUCGAGACGUCGGCGGAAACCAUCUGGCUAGAGUCCGGAAGAGGAGAGUGGAAUUCCUGGUGUAGCGGUGAAAUGCGCAGAUAUCAGGAAGAACACCCGUGGCGAAGGCGGCUCUCUGGGACGGUACUGACGCUGAGGAGCGAAAGCGUGGGGAGCGAACAGG
rnacentral:rRNA from 1 species